GCGGCCGUAGCCAAGCGGUAAGGCACCGGAUUUCCACUCCGGCAGCGCGGGUUCGAUCCCCGCUGGCCGCUCCA
rnacentral:tRNA from 1 species